GAUGAACGCUGGCGGCGUGCCUAAUACAUGCAAGUCGAACGCAUAUCUUCGGAUAUGAGUGGCGAACGGGUGAGUAAUACAUAAGUAACCUGGCCUUAAGAGGGGGAUAACUAUUAGAAAUGAUAGCUAAGACCGCAUAGGUAUGAAGAUCGCAUGAUCGACAUAUUAAAUAUCCCAAGGGAUAGCUGAAGGAUGGACUUAUGGCGCAUUAGCUAGUUGGUAGGGUAACGGCCUACCAAGGCGACGAUGCGUAGCCGACCUGAGAGGGUGGACGGCCACACUGGGACUGAGACACGGCCCAG
rnacentral:rRNA from 1 species